UACGUAGGGGGCAAGCGUUGUCCGGAAUCAUUGGGCGUAAAGCGCGCGUAGGCGGCUUUGUAAGUUAGAGGUGAAAGCCCGGAGCUCAACUCCGGAACUGCCUUUAAGACUGCAUCGCUAGAAUUGUGGAGAGGUGAGUGGAAUUCCGAGUGUAGAGGUGAAAUUCGUAGAUAUUCGGAAGAACACCAGUGGCGAAGGCGACUCACUGGACACAUAUUGACGCUGAGGUGCGAAAGCUAGGGGAGCAAACGGG
rnacentral:rRNA from 1 species